CAGCAUUCCGCCUGAAAAGCUGAACAGAAUACUCAACUUAGCGCUGUGUUUCGAAUGGUAGCAAAGAUGUAGGGAUAGUAAAAAUAUGACGUUAAGUGUGUUGAAUAAUUUUUGAGUAGCGCAGGAACUAUAAUUGUAUAUUCAUUUGCGUUUUGGUAACCAACUUGCAUGUGGCAUAACUUAGCCGCCUACAUUGUGAGCAGACGUCACUAAAUUUAAACGACUUAUUUAGCAAAAAAUAAGUAAAAUUAUUGUUUAUUAUCAUUGGCAACGGGAUUGUUAAAGGUAGUUAUUUAACAAUAAUGGACAAAGGAGAUUGCAAUCAUUCGACACACGCUCUAAGUGUUUCUUAGUGUUAGUGAUCUUGCUCACAUGUACUUACUCGGGGUGGAAAACAAUUUGUUAUUUGUGGAUGCAUAAAUAACAAGCUAUUGUAAUAUAUCUGUACGAAGUAAUAACGAUUGUGCAAGCUAGUGUUUUGUUUUUGGUCUUGCAAUUACAACAACAUCAUUCUGAAACAAGUGGGAGAUGCUGGCAAAGGCUUUUGGAAAGUUGUGCUUAUUUUACUUAUACCAAUGAAAAUACUACAAAAUUUAAAUAUUGUUUCAAAUAAAAGCUGCAUUCGUUUCUUUUUAA